rnacentral:misc_RNA from 1 species
GUGGAGGAGGACGCCGAAGGUGGGGCUAAUGACUGGGGUGAAGUCGUAACAAGGUAGCCGUACCGGAAGGUGCGGCUGGAUCACCUCCUAACAGGGAGACAACAAAAUGUUUAAUAUUAUUAUUUUGUCACCUUAGGUCGAUCGGUAUCUCACGUUCUUAAUUUGUUAAGAAUUUCAUUUCCUAAGUUUUUCUAGGUCACACCCAUUAUUUUUCCUGGGCCAUUAGCUCAGGUGGUUAGAGCGCACCCCUGAUAAGGGUGAGGUCCCUGGUUCAAGUCCAGGAUGGCCCAUAUCUCUAUGUUGGGGGUAUAGCUCAGUUGGUAGAGCGCCUGCUUUGCAAGCAGGAUGUCAGCGGUUCGAGUCCGCUUACCUCCACUGAUUACCACCUCUUCCAUAAUUYGUAGAAGGGAAAUGUUUUGAGUUGUGAUCAUUAUUCUGAACGAAUCAGCUUCCUAAUGAAAUCAUUAAGAUGCUGGACUCAUUGAAUUAAUUUCAUUGUUUUCAGAGAACCUUGACAACUGCAUAGAUUAUUUUUAAAGACAAUAAGCAUCUUUAAUGAUGCAGAUUUAUUAUUUGUGCGAAUGCAUUAAUAACAAUUCUAUUAAGCUGAUGCUUCAAUUUUUGAAGUUAUUGGUCAAGCUACAAAGGGCUCACGGAGGAUACC